rnacentral:rRNA from 1 species
AUUGAACGCUGGCGGCAGGCUUAACACAUGCAAGUCGAACGCAGUGGGGACGGGUGAGUAACACGUGGGUAACCUCCCAUCAGAGGGGAUACCACUUGGCAACAGGUGCUAAACCGAUACUGAUGGAUGGACCCGCGGUGCCUUAGCUAGUUGGUGAGGUAACGGCUCACCAAGGCCACGAUGCAUAGCCGACCUGAGAGGGUGAGCGGCGACACUGGAACUGAGACACGGCCCAGACUCCUACGGUAGGCAGCAGUAGGGAAUCGUCGGCAAUGGACGAAAGUCUGACCGAGCAACGCCGCGUGAGUGAAGAAGGUUUUCGGAUCGUAAAACUCUGUUGUUAGAGAAGCGGUAUCUAACCAGAAAGCCACGGCUAACUACGUGCCAGCCGCCGCGGUAAUAC